rnacentral:misc_RNA from 1 species
GAUGAAGAACGUAGCAAAAUGCGAUAAGCAAUGUGAAUUGCAGAAUUCAGUGAAUCAUCGAAUCUUUGAACGCACAUUGCGCCCGCUGGUAUUCCGGCGGGCAUGCCUGUUCGAGCGUCAUUUCAACCCUCAAGCCCCCGGGUUUGGUGUUGGGGAUCGGCUCUGCCCUUCUGGGCGGUGCCGCCCCCGAAAUACAUUGGCGGUCUCGCUGCAGCCUCCAUUGCGUAGUAGCUAACACCUCGCAACUGGAACGCGGCGCGGCCAUGCCGUAAAACCCCAACUUCUGAAUGUUGACCUCGGAUCAGGUAGGAAUACCCGCUGAACUUAAGCAUAUCAAUAAGCGGAGGA